AUUGAACGCUGGCGGCAUGCCUUACACAUGCAAGUCGAACGGCAGCACGGAGCUUGCUCUGGUGGCGAGUGGCGAACGGGUGAGUAAUAUAUCGGAACGUACCCAAGAGUGGGGAUAACGUAGCGAAAGUUACGCUAAUACCGCAUAUUCUGUGCGCAGGAAAGCAGGGGAUCGCAAGACCUUGCGCUGAUUGAGCGGCCGAUAUCAGAUUAGCUAGUUGGUGAGGUAAAAGCUCACCAAGGCGACGAUCUGUAGCGGGUCUGAGAGGAUGAUCCGCCACACUGGAACUGAGACACGGUCCAGACUCCUACGGGAGGCAGCAGUGGGGAAUUUUGGACAAUGGGGGCAACCCUGAUCCAGCCAUGCCGCGUGAGUGAAGAAGGCCUUCGGGUUGUAAAGCUCUUUCAGCCGGGAAGAAAAUGCAUGGGUUAAUACCCUGUGCAGAUGACGGUACCGGAAUAAGAAGCACCGGCUAACUACGUG
rnacentral:rRNA from 1 species